rnacentral:lncRNA from 1 species
CUCACACCCUUGAGCGCGGUGGUGGAAGAAAUGGCGAGGGACAUCUCGCGUGUGUGUUGGUGUGUGUAGUCGUUUGUGUGUGUGCUGUUAGCGAGACGACGCGAGAAUCCGUGUCUGAACCGCUGACGAUGGAAUCGCCAAGAGGUAACCGGCGGCCGCCGCGGUUAACUCGAUUAGUGCCUGUUCUCAGAACCAGGCGUUAGCGGAGCGCCUAAACGAGGCGCUCGCGCGUGCGUGAGGUGACGAUCCGCGACAACUGUUGGACCAGGGGGUAGCGAGGGGUGCUCGUCAGAAAACGGAAUAUUCCCGUGCCGUGGUCAAGGCUGGCCUCAACGCCGGGGGAAAGCUGAGGAUUGCGGGGGUCGGAGUGAGACGGCGUUCACCCUGACCGCGACGCGGCGUGAGGCGACGGUGCCCCGCGCGCCGCGGGUCAUCGAAAGCCUCACACCCUUGAGCGCGGUGGUGGAAGAAAUGGCGAGGGACAUCUCGCGUGUGUGUUGGUGUGUGUAGUCGUUUGUGUGUGUGCUGUUAGCGAGACGACGCGAGAAUCCGUGUCUGAACCGCUGACGAUGGAAUCGCCAAGAGGUAACCGGCGGCCGCCGCGGUUAACUCGAUUAGUGCCUGUUCUCAGAACCAGGCGUUAGCGGAGCGCCUAAACGAGGCGCUCGCGCGUGCGUGAGGUGACGAUCCGCGACAACUGUUGGACCAGGGGGUAGCGAGGGGUGCUCGUCAGAAAACGGAAUAUUCCCGUGCCGUGGUCAAGGCUGGCCUCAACGCCGGGGGAAAGCUGAGGAUUGCGGGGGUCGGAGGCGUCUCUCACCUGUGGCGGAUGCGUUUGAGCGCCCCUGUGAGUCUGCUACCGGGUAAGCAGCUCGAUCUGCACGAGA